AUUUUCCAUUACCUGUUGAAGAAAAGCUUCUGUCCUAAUCAGUUAUGUACUCUUCAGUUAGAAAGGCUGUGUUUGGAUGCUCAAUUGAGCUUAUUUUCAAUCAGUCAAUUCAAUAAGCGGGGGGAAAAAUCAACUGGGUCUAGCCCCACCCAACUCGUAAUAAGGGAUUGAUGCAUGGAAUUGCAAUUCAGUUCAGCUGAGCAACCAAACAAGCCCUUAACUGUUUGAUUUUGCCACCUUAGAUUCUAGACUGUGAUAAUUAGAACUUUGAGCCAUACAAACAUAGGUUGCAAUAACGUCAUGCAUUUUACUUGUGGAGUAUCGAACAUCAUUCUGUUAUCCUAAGAGAUCGGCAAUCAAUCAAACAGGUGCAAAGCUAAAUACAAGAGAUCGUACAUACCAGAAUGAGGUCUGCUGCUGGAAGAAACUCAACUUGGUGGGUAACAUACAGUGGAGUCUUGUCCGUUAGAAUCCCCAUCAGGCAGUCCUGCAUAACAAAUAUAUGCCUUAUUGUACACACAACAUUCUCUAUCUUGAUGAGAUGCUGCAUUCACUUAAAAUGCCAAACUGUAUAUUUAUCAUAAGAUCAGUUGGAAUUUUUAUUUCACCCAAGUUUAGGAAAGACAUCAAGUGGAAAGUGGAUUUUUUUAUAUAUUUUUUUUCCGUAUGCCAAGUAGGAAGAACCAUGUAGAAAAUGAUGGAUAGUGGUAGGCUCCAUGAUCAUGUGGUUUUACAUAAUUGUAAAUUUUCAUUAUAUACAUAGUACAUAGAAAUUAUACGAAAGUCGACAAGCGCUAGACCUUCUGAAAGUUUAGAACUUACAUUCAUUGAAAUGAUUCAUGCCAAAUGGAUGGAAAUUUUUUAUUUUCCAUUUCAUUUUAUCAUUUGGGUUCUCAUGAGAAACUCUUAUAUGGAUGAAACAAAGAAUUUGGACUAGAACUUGACUCUUAAAACCCUGAAAAGUGCAAAAACAAACUAACUAAAAACAGUAAUUUUUAACUUCAGACUCAAAUUUGACAGUUGAAAAGAUUGAAUUUUGUGAAGCCAUUCGGGUGCCAAUGAACCUGGGUUGAUUGGCUAAGAUGUAGAGCUCCUCGAUUGCUUUUCAAAAACUAUGCAUUCUAAUCUGAUGAUCGGCUGCAAAGUUACAACCACCAUAAGCUAUAGUGCACGUUUAGGCUGUUUUUGCCUAGGGCCCUUAUGGCCCAAAUUCAUGCAAUCCUAGGCUUCAUGUGUCAUCCAUGACCUGUCCUACAUCAACUUGUUUGGCUCUUCUUGGGAGUUGCUACAAGUAGCUCAUUGGUCUACAAGGAGGUUUGUAGAAUCAAGCUAGAACCUCAAGCUCUCCUUAAUUUUCAACUUCGAUUCUAUUUUGAAUUCUAUUGCUUAAAAGCAUUUCCAUGUUGGAAUCGUCUCAAAGAAGAAGAAACCAACCUCAAAUAGUUGUCUGCCUGUACGAGCAUCCACAGCACUGAAAGGGUCAUCGAGAAGGUAUAUAUCAGCAUCUUGGUAAAUGGCCCGUGCAAUUUGUAUCCUCUGUUUUUGGCCACUACUCAUGUUAAUGCCCCUUUCUCCGAUCUCCGUCAGGUCCCCACAGGAGAAGAGCUCAAAAUCCUUGGUCAAGGCACAUGCCUGGAUCGUUUUAUUGUACUUGUCGCUGUUGAACGGGUUUCCGAAGGUGAUAUUUUCUCUAACAUUGCCUGUCAGUAUCCACGGGGACUGAGGAACAUAAGCUUUGGUGCCGCUGAUUUUCACGGUCCCUGAAAGUUUCGGUAUUUCUCUGAGUAUGCAUGCAAUCAGACUGGAUUUUCCUGAACCAACAGUUCCACAGACUGCCACCUUCAUUCCCCUCUUGAUCUUCAACUGCAAUCCGCUAAGCGUCGGGUUUCUUGAGUCCACGUCCCAGCUGAAUUCCCCACUAUCGAUCUCGACUUCAAACUCUGUUUCGUUCCUUGGUACGAACUCAACUGCAUCAGAUUGGAUUUCAUCUUCUUGGAGAUACGCCGCAUCUCGAUCGACUGAAACUUUUGCCUAUUCGAAAACGGACAGUAAGUCUGGGAGAUUGAAAAUUGGAUCUUGUAGCAUUCUGAAUGUUGCCAGUGCAGAUAACACUCUCCCGGCCGUAAGUGGGAUGCCCAUCAGCAUACAAGCACCAAAUGUCACAACUGAAAUGAACGCGGGUGACCCC